GAUGAACGCUGGCGGCGUGCUUAACACAUGCAAGUCGAACGGAAAGGCUCCUGCUUGCAGGGGUACUCGAGUGGCGAACGGGUGAGUAACACGUGGGUGAUCUGCCCUGCACUUCGGGAUAAGCCUGGGAAACUGGGUCUAAUACCGGAUAGGACCACAUUUUGGAUGGUGUGGUGGAAAGUUUUUCGGUGUGGGAUGAGCUCGCGGCCUAUCAGCUUGUUGGUGGGGUAAUGGCCUACCAAGGCGUCGACGGGUAGCCGGCCUGAGAGGGUGUACGGCCACAUUGGGACUGAGAUACGGCCCAGACUCCUACGGGAGGCAGCAGUGGGGAAUACUGCACAAUGGGCGCAAGCCUGAUGCAGCGACGCCGCGUGGGGGAGGACGGCCUUCGGGUUGUAAACUCCUUUCGCUAGGGACGAAGCGUUUUUGUGACGGUACCUGGAGAAGAAGCACCGGCUAACUACGU
rnacentral:rRNA from 1 species